rfam:Ictidomys tridecemlineatus contig083056, whole genome shotgun sequence.
GGGGUUGUGGCUCAAUGGUAGAGUGUUUGCCUCAAAUGUGUGAGGCACUGGGUUCAAUUCUCAGCACCA